GGAUGCGAUCAUACCAGCACUAAUGCACCGGAUCCCAUCAGAACUCCGAAGUUAAGCGUGCUUGGGCGAGAGUAGUACUAGGAUGGGUGACCCCUGGGAAGUCCUCGUGUUGCAUCCC
rfam:Ipomoea nil DNA, scaffold: scaffold1350, cultivar: Tokyo-kokei standard.